rnacentral:rRNA from 1 species
GACGAACGCUGGCGGCGUGCUUAACACAUGCAAGUCGAGCGGAAGGGCGCGGCUUUUGCUGGGUGCUCGAGUGGCGAAGGGGUGAGUAACACGUGAGUAUCCUGCCCUUGACUGUGGGAUAAAUUCAGGAAACUGCGGCUAAUACCGGAGAGGAUCUCCUGCUGCAUGGGGGGGGUUGGAAAGUUUCGGCGGUUGGGGAUGGACUCGCGGCUUACCAGCUAGUUGGGGGGGUAGUGACUUACCAGGGGUUUGACGGAUAGCCGGCAUGGGAGGUGAGACGGGCACCUGGCGCCUGAGGGAGGGACCAGUAGGGAAUGGGAGGCAAUAGGGGGAAGCAUGACACAGCGGGGGCGCGUGUGAGGCGGAGGCGCCGGGGGCGGGAUGCCGGCCUUUGGGGUGUAAACCGCUUUGGGCUGAGACGAAGCGUGAGUGACGGUACUGGGUAAAGAAGCACCGGCUAACUACGUG